AGAUAAUGAGCCCAAGACAGAGAAGAGAAAGACAAGGAGAAAUGUAUUGAGCCCUUGAAGAAACCAAGUGUUCUACAUGGGACUGGGGGUGGUAUGCCUAGGGGAAGGAGGGUCACAGUGUCUAUAAAGGAGAUAGAUGUAAAAGUCAGUCCUAUGGCCCUAAUAAAAACUACACAAUUACUCAUCGAAGUUUGUUGAACAGAAAUCAGUACGAUCACAGCUACCAUGGACAAAGCUUGAUAUAUUUUGGUUUAGUUUAAAUGAGGGGUAUUGGUUUCAAAGAGAUAUUAAAUUUCGACUCUAAGGGGCUGAAGUCUCGUGUGCCUGUGCGUCUGGUGAGGCUUAGCGGUCACCACUCCCCACUCACCCGCUGCCCACCCCACCUCCGAGGGUGACGCCCCUUGAGGACGUCAGCUCUCCAGCCUAGAAGGCAGCAUUGUGAGGGGCGUGGCCUAGAGGACGUUCUACUCUGGCCACCACGAUCUUGGCAGCCCACACCUGAUCAGGACCUAAAGCGUGAAGGGUGUGAAUGAGGAGAAACGAGGACCGCCUGCUACCCCAGCGUCUGGCCCCCUGGGGACUGAAGGCUGGCUCUGGAGCUGUACCUCGGCAACUGCUAUAAGGCUGCCGAAGCCGCCGCCACUAAGGCGGCCGCCAGCAGCCUGAAUGCAGGUUAUAUGUCCCUUGAAGGAGUUGAGUAAAUACAGGCAGUAUGUGACUAGUUUAAAAUUAGACUUUGAAAGAAACUGUAUAAGAGAACAAGGUUUCACUCCAAUCACCCAGGCUGGAGUGCAGUGGGAUGCUCUCAGUUCACUGCAGCAUCAACUUCCCGAGCUCAGCCGGCCAACACUUAUGGAAAAUAGAAAGAACCUAUGUUGAAAUAUUGGGGGCAGGUUCCCCCAAUACAGGACCACAUAAGAAGAAAUCUUGAUCUCUGUAGACAAAUUGAAGAGGUGAGUAACACUGGAUUUUAAAUAUUAAGG
rnacentral:lncRNA from 10 species